ensembl:snoRNA
AUGGAAGUGAUGCAUAUCCUUUGACCUGACCACAGUGAUGGUUUAUUGUAUUCAUACUGUCUGAUCCAU